rnacentral:rRNA from 1 species
UGGGACCUGAUCUCAGCCAACGUCGUCCGAUCCCCAAA